UUCUGUUUUCAUAGACGUAGAUACAUACGUAUACGUACAUACACACACGCGCAUAAUAUACCUUUCUAUAUCGUUUCGAAUAAAACGGAUAUAAAGACGAAACGUAAUUAUUUCAAUGUUACUAAUUAAAUAUUAUUAUUUUCCAGCUUAUUCUCCGUCGUCGUUCCGAAGAGAAAACAACGAGGAGACCGUUUAAUUUUGCCUCUAGGCAAAAAUAAGAGAAUAGAAGGGGAUGUCAGCCAUUCUUUCUAUAAAAAUGGAUUGAAAUACGUUCUUGUUGAAAAUGUAAACAAAACACAUAGUCGAGCGUUCAGCUUCGUCAAUGAACUAGGUGACUCAGAGUAAUACGAGACCUGCUCGAGACAACAAGACUAGCUUUUCUCUGCUGCGAAGUACUUAGGAUCAAAGGAUCGCAUUGUCGUGCGGUCAGGUCGGUCGUACGUUGGCCUUCUAAUCGCGCCAUUAAUCGCGAAACCAGUUCGGUAAGCCUGACGAGCACGCUAGACUCUACGUUUCGUGUGAACGAGCGAGAAUAUUUGCAGCUCGUUCGUCAAUGUGACUAACCACCU